UACGGAGGGUGCAAGCGUUAUCCGGAUUUACUGGGUUUAAAGGGUGCGCAGGCGGAUAUGUAAGUCAGUGGUGAAAUCUCUAGGCUUAACCUGGAAAUUGCCGUUGAUACUAUAUAUCUUGAAUGCUGUGGAGGUAAGCGGAAUAUGUCAUGUAGCGGUGAAAUGCUUAGAUAUGACAUAGAACACCUAUUGCGAAGGCAGCUUACUACGCAGAUAUUGACGCUCAUGCACGAAAGCGUGAGGAUCAAACAGG
rnacentral:rRNA from 1 species